AUUCAAAUGAUGAUAAAAUGUCACUGAAAGGCUUUUUGAAACUAUUUUUGUUUUAAUCGGCUUUAAAAAGGAUGUUCGCUUUUGCGAGGCAUUUGUCUGAUGGAUCU